AUACGUAGGGGGCGAGCGUUGUCCGGAAUGAUUGGGCGUAAAGGGCGCGUAGGCGGCGCGGUAAGUCUGGAGUGAAAGUCCUGCUUUCAAGGCGGGAAUUGCUUUGGAUACUGCCGCGCUUGAGUGCAGGAGAGGUUAUCGGAAUUCCCGGUGUCGCGGUGAAAUGCGUAGAGUUCGGGAGGAACACCAGUGGAGAAGCCGGGUAACUGGACUGCACAUGACUCUGAGGCGCGAAAGUGUGGGGAGCAAGUAGGAUUAGAUGCCCUGGUACUCCACACUAUAAACGAUGAAUUCUAGGUGUAAGAGUUAUCGACCCCUUUUGUGCCGGAGUCAACACAAUAAGAAUUCCGGCUGGGAAGUACAGCCGCAAGGUUGAAACUCAAAGGAAUUGACGGGU
rnacentral:rRNA from 1 species